rnacentral:rRNA from 1 species
CUUAGGAUGAACGCUAGCUACAGGCUUAACACAUGCAAGUCGAGGGCAGCAUGGGAUAGCUUGCUAUUCAGAUGGCGACCGGCGCACGGGUGAGUAACGCGUAUCCAACCUUCCUGCCAGUAGGGAACAGACCCGGCGAAAGUCGGAUUUAAUGCCCUAUGUUCUUCAAUGCGGACAUCUAAGUUGAAGGAAAGAUUCAUCGCUGGCAGAUGGGGAUGCGUCCGAUUAGCUUGCCGGCGGGUAACGGCCCACCGGGGCGACGAUCGGUAGGGGUUCUGAGAGGAAGGUCCCCCACACUGGUACUGAGACACGGACCAGACUCCUACGGGAGGCAGCAGUGAGGAAUAUUGGUCAAUGGGCGUAAGCCUGAACCAGCCAAGUAGCGUGCAAGGAUGACGGCCCUACGGGUUGUAAACUGCUUUUAUGCGGGGAUAAAGUGCGGCACGUGUGCCGCUUUGCAGGUACCACAUGAAUAAGGACCGGCUAAUUCCGUGCCAGCCGCCGC